UUCUUUCGAGCACAACUACAUCCAAAAACAACUUACCUGUGAGCAGAGAGAGUAUUUGUUAACCCCUUUGAGCUUAAACAGUUGAAUCUCGGCUUGAAAUAAAGCGAGAUCUCAAAAAUCUUUUUUUUACAACCCGGAAAAUCUUGAUUAUUGUUCUUUUGCCGUAAAAAGUUAAGAGCAUUCACUUAGGGUGAGUAAGAAAUAAGUUGGGGAGAACGAAAAAGAAUCGGUAAGUACCACAACUCUUGAAAAAGAAAAGAAAAACCGAGCAAGCAUAGGAAAAUAUAUGUAUAGAAAAUAUAGAAAAGAAACAUCUGUUUUGUAUAUUUGAUGUGAAAGAAAAGAACAAAA
rnacentral:lncRNA from 1 species